AUCCCACACCCCCCACCCCCAGUUAAAUCUGACCCAUCGAUACUGGCAAAAUGAUAGAAGCUCCUGGGAAGCAUCCCAGAGCCUGGGAGCUGCCCGCCGGCCAUCAUUGAGGAAAAUAAAUCUCUCUCCCUGAUAGCAGACAGUGCCCGCCGUAUUUCAUAAUUGGCGAGACGAAGAGCCCCGUUUUUUUUUCUUCUUCCCGAGAUGUUUGGGAAUAACUCAGUUUAAAAGACCACGUCCUAACAACCGGAAUGGGCCGAUUAUUCCAGCACAAUCCACUGAGAAUCGUUGCCGUGCACGUUUGUCACCCAGCGAGAACCUCAAACCCGGGAGGCAACCACCUUACUGCAUCCUGUCUCAAAAAGAUCUCUGUCUCCCAUCUGUUGUCUCUUCAAAGGGCCACCAAGGUGGGCAGCAUUUCUUCUGAGCUCCAUUUGGUUCUUUGGGUUGAGUAGUCCCUGAGCAUCAGGGAGGAUGGGCUUCCUGAGUGGAGCCUAGGCCUAGGCCUCAGGAGAUGCCUCUGAGGCAGAGAGGGGCCUCUCUAUAGCAAUACCCAAUAAGUCUUCUCUGC
rnacentral:lncRNA from 1 species